ensembl:lncRNA
CUUUAACCGUCUCAUUUGAAGCUGCCCAUCCCCACAUAGCUGAGCUCCCAGCAUGACUGGGGCAGUAAGACAACCCUGUUAGGACUAAAAAGCCAUUUCUGCAUCUCGAAGACACAGAUGCAACCCCAGUCUGGCAUUCAAGAGCGUAACUUUAUCAGUGGAGUCUUUACAUUUCUGAAUCAGACAUUAAAGGUGGUGGGACUCACACUGGCAUGGAAAUCCUGCUUCUAUGCUCCCGUGUGUAAAACCUUGGAUCAGAGGCUGUACUCAUUCAUUCAUUCAUUCAUUCACUCAUUCACUCCAUUUAGUGAACAAACUUUUUCUGACUACCAUCUGUGCCACAAGCACAAGGAAUGUUAGAGUUGAAAAACCAAGCCCUUGCCCUUCGGGAGUUUGAUGUUGAGAGGGGGAAAAUAGACACGAAACAGACAUUUCAAGGAGCAGCGCCACGUAGGGACUGUGUAAGGUGACGCAGAAGUGUAGAGAAGGAGCACCUGCUUCGUUCCCAGGGGUGAGGACAGGAAACACGUCCAGGAAGAGGUGGCCUUCAAGCUGAGCCUGGAGGGGUGGGUGGACAGGUGCAACGAUGGGGUUCCUGCAGGAGGACCGGCAAGAGUGAACGCAGGGAGGAUGGAGAUGCACGUCCUGCUGGAAGAACCACGGAGAGUGCAGUUCCAGAGAAGAGACUCUGCACAGCGAGGCCCAGAUGGUGUGGGGCCUGUGCGCCAGCAGAGGGGGUCCCACUGCAGCACGAUGGCAAGAAGGAGCUUUGGAAGGAUUUCAACCAGGGUUGUGACAAGGUGGCACCUUAGAAUCGAGCCACUUUCUCCAGAGCCCUGACCUGUCACCACCAUGGGCCUUUCUGAGUCUGACCCGUGCUGCAGAGGCCAUGUGGAGAAUGAAGAAGGAAGGAGCCAAGAGGAAAACCUCUCACUCGACCAUUAAAAUACAUUCCAGAUGGAUUAGAGAGGAGAGAGUAAGCCUCGGCAAAGGAAAGUCACUUGCCCAAGGACACCAAGUCAUUUUGGUCAGGGCCAGGUCCACCGCCGAGAUCCUCGCUGCUCAUCAUGGUGUCUCAGGAGCAGCAACAUCAGCAUCACCCGGGAGCUGGCUCCUCUGGGCUGUGAUGCUUUCUCAGACUCUCCUGGUGUUGGAUGACCUUGCCAGUUUUGAGCGGUCAGCUCUGGGACGUAGGGAGCGUUAUCCCUCCUUUGCAGGAAUGGAUCAGAAAGGAGAGGCGAUUUGCCAAGUGAGUGAAGGCUGGAGCCAGUAUCUGAGUCAUCAUCUGCCUGUUCCAAAGCCUUUGCCACCUAUACUGAGGUGUCAUAUUACAAACUGGGGCAAUCCCUCCAGGCUUUAAAUUUGAGGAAUUCAAGAGGUUCCAAAGAGAGAAGAACAGAGACAGAGAGCUGAGCGGAGUCACCCAGAGGGCAGAAGGAGCUGGAGGUAGAGCUUUAAUGAACUACUCUGAAAGACCCAAGCACUCAUAAGACAAAGCAACGGACAUGCAUUGAGUUCCCAGUCCUACCGUCUAACCGAGAUAUGACUAUGGAUCUGCUACUUGAUCUUUCUGAGCUCCAUCUGUAAAACACAGAGAAAAACAAUACCAGCAUCACACAACAGGAGUCACCCUGGAGACAAAUGAAAGGAAACUGAAUGUGGAAUGGGGGGAGAGAAGGAUUUCUGUGGAGGAUCUGGGUAACUUCGGGAUCGUUCCGAGAGAUGAUCAUUUCACAGCAGGCUUAGCAGACAGUCUUCGGAUGGAAGCUCUCAAGAGCAAGCCCAGAAAGUUUCUGGAGGGUCAAAGCUAUGAUCUGGAGGGAAAUGGAAGUAUCUACUUAACGUCUGCAAUGUGCCAGGUAAACGCUCCUGCUUUGCUGUCAUUGCCGCAUUUAAUUCUUACAGCAGUACUGUCAGGUCAGCAUCAUUAUCCUUGUUUCAGGGAGGAGGAAACUGAAGCUCAGAGAGGUGCAGAAACUUACCCAAGUCACAUAGCUUCCAAGUGGUGGAGACUGGAUUCCCACUUGGCUCUAGCAGAGUCCUAAGUCCCUAUUACGUCCAGGUACUUUGAGGGAGUAGCAUGGAAUAAGAUUAAGACUUGGCCCUUCCUCUCCAAUUGCUCACAGUCAAACAAGGAUGAUCAGGAAUGCAUGGCAUUGACCAGAAGCCCAGGCAAAAUGCAAAUAGUAACAAAAUGCAAAUGGCAAGAACAGGUUUAAUUAAAGUCCUUUGAGAAUUCACAGAAGGAGCAUGGUACUUUCAGUUGGAGGGAGGCAAAUGGGGAUCAGAUUAAUGGAAGGGGUGACAUUUGAUGUGGUUCUUGAAAAGAGGGUGGGAUUUUCAAAGGC